rnacentral:rRNA from 1 species
UACGGGGGAGCAAGCGUUGUUCGGAUUUACUGGGCGUAAAGCGUGCGCAGGCGGUUGUGCAAGACAGAUGUGAAAUCCCCGGGCUCAACCUGGGAACUGCAUUUGUGACUGCACGGCUGGAGUGCGGCAGAGGGGGAUGGAAUUCCGCGUGUAGCAGUGAAAUGCGUAGAUAUGCGGAGGAACACCGAUGGCGAAGGCAAUCCCCUGGGCCUGCACUGACGCUCAUGCACGAAAGCGUGGGGAGCAAACGGG